rfam:Capsicum annuum cultivar Zunla-1 chromosome 5, whole genome shotgun sequence
AUACUUACAUGGACAGGGUCAACGGGUGAUCAAGAAGGCCCAUGGCCUAGGCUGGUUACCUCCAUUGCACUUUGGAGGGGUGCCAGCCGAAGGUCAACCCAAGUGGUCGAGCCUAAGUUAUAAUUUGUGGCAGCAGGGGCCUACAAAGUCCAAU